UGAAAUUUAGCUGGAACAAGUUCAUGGUAUGUGCCGUCAAACAGCAGAAACAUUUGAUUAACAACAAUUGCAUUGUCCUUAGGCUUGAGUUUGCCAGUUGGUGGCACAAAGGAAAGACCAGAUGAUGAACUGCAGAGUAGAAUGAUUAGAGAUGUGUCUCCCAAUGAUAUCUCCGUGAAGAGGGUCUUUGCACUUCUCCAGUCAAUGGAGUCCAAGUUGAUCCAAGCUGCU